rnacentral:rRNA from 1 species
UUAGAGGAAGUAAAAGUCGUAACAAGGUUUCCCGUAGGUGAACCUGCGGAAGGAUCAUUAUUGAAUUACGAAUUUGGUUGGGCUGUUGCUAGCUUUCUCUGAAGCAUGUGCACGCCUGGCUCAAACUUCUUAACCACCUGUGCACCUUUUGUAGAUCCUCUUAGAAUAAACAAUGCUCGAGUUUUCUCGGUCUUGGAGAUAUUGCAUGACUUUUGCCAUGCUUUCUCUGAUAUUCCUUGGGGGUCUAUGUCUUUUUAAUUAACACUGUCAUUGAAUGUUAAUCAUUGGCUUUUGUUGCCAUUAAUUUAUAUACAACUUUCAACAACGGAUCUCUUGGCUCUCGCAUCGAUGAAGAACGCAGCGAAAUGCGAUAAGUAAUGUGAAUUGCAGAAUUCAGUGAAUCAUCGAAUCUUUGAACGCACCUUGCGCUCCUUGGUAUUCCGAGGAGCAUGCCUGUUUGAGUGUCAUAAACUUCUCAACCUUUUCAGUCUUUUGGCUGACGAGGCUUGGAUUGUGGGUGUAGUGCAGGCUUUCCCCAAAGUCAAUGCUCUCCUCAAAUGCAUUAGCAGGAAUGUUUGUGAAAGACGGUCCUUGGUGUGAUAAUUAUCUACGCCAUGACUACACAUGUGUUUCUGCUUCUAAUUGUCUUCAGAGACAAAUUAAUGUUGAUAUUUUGACCUCAAAUCAGGUAGGAUUACCCGCUGAACUUAAGCAUAUCAAUAAGC